UAGGGAAUCUUCCGCAAUGGGCGAAAGCUUGACGGAGCAACGCCGCGUGAGUGAUGAAGGUCUUCGGAUCGUAAAACUCUGUUAUUAGGGAAGAACAAAUGUGUAAGUAACUAUGCACGUCUUGACGGUACCUAAUCAGAAAGCCACGGCUAACUACGUGCCAGCAGCCGCGGUAAUACGUAGGUGGCAAGCGUUAUCCGGAAUUAAUGGGCGUAAAGCGCGCGUAGGCGGUUUUUUAAGUCUGAUGUGAAAGCCCACGGCUCAACCGUGGAGGGUCAUUGGAAACUGGAAAACUUGAGUGCAGAAGAGGAAAGUGGAAUUCCAUGUGUAGCGGUGAAAUGCGCAGAGAUAUGGAGGAACACCAGUGGCGAAGGCGACUUUCUGGUCUGUAACUGACGCUGAUGUGCGAAAGCGUGGGGAUCAAACAGG
rnacentral:rRNA from 1 species